UCACGUCUUACGACGGCAGUUUCACUAGAGUUCCCAGCGUUACCUGAUGGCAACUAGUGAUGGGGGUUGCGCUCGUUACGGGACUUAACCCAACACCUCACGGCACGAGCUGACGACAGCCAUGCAGCACCUAGUUUCGUGCAAUUGCUUGCUGCCAUGUUUCUACGGCAUUCACUAACUUUCAAGCCCAGGUAAGGUUCCUCGCGUAUCAUCGAAUUAAACCACAUGCUCCUCCGCUUGUGCGGGCCCCCGUCAAUUUCUUUGAGUUUUAAUCUUGCGACCGUACUUCCCAGGCGGCGCAUUUAACGCGUUAGCUGCGGUACUGAGAAAUCGCUUCCCCAACACCUAGUUGUCAUCGUUUAGGGCGUGGACUAC
rnacentral:misc_RNA from 1 species